rnacentral:rRNA from 1 species
GACGAACGCUGGCGGCGUGCUUAACACAUGCAAGUCGAACGGAAAGGCCCUGCUUGCAGGGUCCUCGAGUGGCGAACGGGUGAGUAACACGUGGGUGAUCUGCCCUGCACUUCGGGAUAAGCCUGGGAAACUGGGUCUAAUACCGGAUAGGAGCCAUUUUUAGUGUGAUGGUUGGAAAGUUUUUUCGGUGUUGGAUGAGCUCGCGGCCUAUCAGCUUGUUGGUGGGGUAAUGGCCUACCAAGGCGGCGACGGGUAGCCGGCCUGAGAGGGUGGACGGCCACAUUGGGACUGAGAUACGGCCCAGACGCCUACGGGAGGCAGCAGUGGGGAAGAUUGCACAAUGGGCGCAAGCCUGAUGCAGAGACGCCGCGUGGGGGAUGACGGCCUUCGGGUUGUAAACUCCUUUCGCUAGGGACGAAGCUUUUUGUGACGGUACCUAGAGAAGAAGCACCGGCUAACUACGUG